GCUCUGACAAUUAAAAAAAGUUAAUUUAUUUAAUAGUUAUGUUUUUCUCUCUCUCUCAUUAAGUAUGUCAUCUUUUAUAACAUUUUCGGGGCUAUUUUCAUAAAACGUUUCUCAGUGGAAGGGUACGAGACAAAUCAUUACAGUUCAAGGACAUCCAAGCAAAUGAGGAGCUCAGGAGAGCUAAAAUAGAUGGAGCAAUAACAUGGCUACGGACAGAAUUGCUGGAGAUGCGAUCCCAGGACAGACAGCUUGCUAAAACAUUAUUGGACUUAAACACAGAGAUACAGCGACUAAGACAAGAAAAUGAAUCAUCAAGUCCAGACAAGAAACCAAAAGCUGUGACUAAUAACAACGACCUUAAAACACCUUUCCAUGGCAGUGAACUUCAGUGAACUGAAGAAACAGAUGCUCUCAAGCACCUGAGUUUUUAUUUUUUCUGCUGAGUCAUCUUUUCCAAAUAUCAGCAUGUUAUCUCACAAUGGACUACCAACUGUCAAUGUGCCUGUAAAACAGGAAUACAAAAUGAAUACAAAAUGUUGUCUUAUAUUAGACUAUCGUAUGUUAACAGUAGCACACUGGCAACCUAACAGAAGGCCUACGUUUUGCACUUGAGGAUAUGAGAAUAUUAUACAUAUUGAAAUAAGUGAACAUACUGUACUGGAACAUACUUAGAGUCACGUAUUGUAAAAUAGGUUUAGAGAACUUGAGCCGAGUUUGAGGAAUACAUGGAAAAAAGUGUUUGAUUGAAAUGUUUAAAUGCUUAUUUUGAAGGAAGUGCAAGGGCAAGUUAUUGGGAGGAACAGAAUCAUUUUAACGGCAUAAAACUUGCACAAAACCUUUAAAGGGUACAGUUAGUGUGUUCAUUCUGAGUUCAUUUUCUCUAAAUCUGCCCUUACCUUUGAGCUUGUCUAGAGAAUCCUAAAUGCCAAGACUGAACAACCUUCUUCAUUCCAUUUAAAUCAUGUGGCAAUGUGACCUUUCAAACAAGCUCAAAGCCAGGUAAAUGCAGAUGUAGAGACAACUGAUAAAAAGAACCUGCAGAAACGGAACCCAGAACCACUCAGCACGAUUGCAAACACCAUCAAAUAGUAAAGGAAAUUGAAAUGAUUUUUGAAGCUACAUAAUCUUUAAGAAUAAUAAUAAUAAUAUAGCUGCUCCCUCCUAUUUCUUGCAAGUUUUAAACUGUUAGAAGUGUUGCUUUCAAAUGAAGGCCCUUUGGAUGAAUUCACAAAGCCAUUGUAAUAUAUAUAUAUAUAUUUUCCACUCAGACAGUAAAUGGCUUUUUUAAUAAUUGCAGAUGUUAAACUUAAAUUUGAAUACAGAGCUUUUUAUUUCUGUUUUUAAUAGCUUCCGAUGUGAUUUCACUGCUCUUUUGUAUUAUUUAUGAAAUUACAAAAGGGAAGUGAAUUUAUAAACCUGAGGGAUCUCCCACCAUAUAUUAAUUUUUAAAUAUAAUUUUUAAACACAUUUAAAAAGCAAUGUAAUGUGAAAAUGCUUUAUAAAGAAGAUCAUAUUUAAAGAGUUGUUAUGGUUAUGAAAUUAUGAAAGAGAACACUUGACUGACACAGAAUUUAAAGUCAGUCCAACCUCCAAAUACAGUGCUACCUCUUUAUUUUGCUAUCUGACUUAAAUAAACGUAAAGAUUGAAAACAGUAAAUUACACAACGGGCCGAUCAACAAAAUAUUUCCACUGUAUUAAAACAAUAGUUUUUUUCUAUUUCAUUUAUCAUGCACAGUUGCUACUGUUAACUUUAUACAAAUAAAGCAUGUCAAAUGUAAAGUCUGUCUUAAAAAAAUAAACAAAUAUAAUUUGAGGUUAUUUUUUAACCAUUUUUUAAAACUUUAUAGACAGUGGAAUUCUGUGUAUAACUUUGUGGUAACUUCAUACACUACCAGUACUAAAGAUUAUAUUUUACUCAGUCUGAAAGAUAACCUGUACUGUAUGUGUAUUCCCAUACUUAUGAAUUGAGAGCUUCUGAUUGACAUCUGUAUUAGUGCUGCACUAUUGAGAUGCACCUGUGCUGGCCCUGUGGGCACAAAGUGAAUAAACUAAACAGUUGUUGAAACCUCUGUGAUGGUUAUUGGUGCAUAAAUGCUCUGUCUGAACAGUGUGGUAUGAAAGCCUGACUCUUUUAGAGCAGCGGUUGCGUGUUUGCUGUGGAGCCCUGAUAACCCAGGUUUACAUCUCUUCCCUGACAUAGGACAUUCAUUACACCUUGAUUCACACAGGGUGUGCUUUCUUAGUGCUUACCUUUUAAAUUUCUAUCAAUUGUACAGUCUAUUUACAUUUAACUUCUGUAGACGUAUAUAGUUCAGAAAUUGUUUACUACUGAGUUAAUUAAAGUGAAUAUUGAUAGGCACAUGUGUAUGCUUCACCUUUUCUCGUAUGUAAUGUUUAGUCUCUUGCUGUUUAAACAUUAAAAUACACUGCAUCUAAA